CGUCAAGUCAUCAUGGCCCUUACGCCUGGGGCUACACACGUGCUACAAUGGUCGGGACAGAGGGAGGCGAAGUCGUGAGGCGGAGCAAAUCCCCAAAGCCGGUCUCAGUUCGGAUUGCAGGCUGCAACUCGCCUGCAUGAAGCCGGAGUUGCUAGUAACCGCGCGUCAGCCAUAGUGCGGUGAAUACGUUCCCGGGCCUU
rnacentral:rRNA from 1 species